AUUGAACGCUGGCGGCAGGCCUAACACAUGCCAGUCGAGCGGAUGAAGGGAGCUUGCUCCUGGAUUCAGCGGCGGACGGGUGUGUAAUGCCUAGGAAUCUGCCUGGUAGUGGGGGCUAACGUCCGGAAACGGGCGCUAAUACCGCAUACGUCCUGAGAGAGAAAGUGGGGGAUCUUCGGACCUCACGCUAUCAGAUGAGCCUAGGUCGGAUUAGCUAGUUGGUGGGGUAAAGGCCUACCAAGGCGACGAUCCGUAACUGGUCUGUGAGGAUGAUCAGUCACACUGGAACGGAGACACGGUCCAGACUCCUACGGGAGGCAGCAGUGGGGAAUAUUAGGCAAUGGGCGAAAGCCUGAUCCAGCCAUGCCGCGUGUGUGAAGAAGGUCUUCGGAUUGUAAAGCACUUUAAGUUGGGAGGAAGGGCAGUAAGUUAAUACCUUGCUGUUUUGACGUUACCAACAGAAUAAGCACCGGCUAACUUCGUG
rnacentral:rRNA from 1 species